rnacentral:rRNA from 1 species
UACGUAGGUGGCGAGCGUUGUCCGGAUUUACUGGGCGUAAAGGGAGCGUAGGCGGACUUUUAAGUGAGAUGUGAAAUACCCGGGCUCAACUUGAGUGCUGCAUUUCAAACUGGAAGUCUAGAGUGCAGGAGAGGAGAAUGGAAUUCCUAGUGUAGCGGUGAAAUGCGUAGAGAUUAGGAAGAACACCAGUGGCGAAGGCGAUUCUCUGGACUGUAACUGACGCUGAGGCUCGAAAGCGUGGGGAGCAAACAGGAUUAGAUACCCCCGUA